rnacentral:rRNA from 1 species
UACGUAGGUGGCAAGCGUUGUCCGGAAUUAUUGGGCGUAAAGCGCGCGCAGGUGGUCUCUUAAGUCUGAUGUGAAAGCCCCCGGCUCAACCGGGGAGGGUCAUUGGAAACUGGGAGACUUGAGUGCAGGAGAGAAGAGUGGAAUUCCACGUGUAGCGGUGAAAUGCGUAGAGAUGUGGAGGAACACCAGUGGCGAAGGCGACUCUUUGGUCUGUAACUGACACUGAGGCGCGAAAGCGUGGGGAGCAAACAGG